UCCUAUUUUUUCCCCCUGCAAGACUUUUCCCGGAGCACUUUCUGUCUUUCAGCACACACAUACGAACACACACUCUCAACAUGCCAGAGUCCGCAGACGUUCCUGCCCAGUGCCAGGUUCUCAAAGAGGAAGUGGACAAAUGUGUCCAGGGGAAGGGGGCAGAAGGCUGUAAGGAACUGAUGGAAGCUUUUGAGGCCUGUGUGAAAAGUGCUGCCAAAGCCUCCUGAAAAACAUACUGAAAUGUCCUCCUUCUCUCGGGUCCUCCAGUAUCCCUGCAUUCCCGACUGCACUGUGCGCCGGAGUGAACCACGGUGACAACUGGACAGGGGUGUCGGUGCUGCAACAUCCAUGGAUUUGCCUCUUCUGGAAAGGAGAUGUGUUGAUGACAUCACUGAUAAAAUCCAUGUAAUUUGAUACUUUACCUUAAAAACAGCUAUUUACAUCCAGCAUGUCAGGAAAAAAACAUAGUCUAUUUAUAUAAAAAACACUGUGCAGUAAACAUUUUUCAAUAAAAAAAUAAUUUAAUUAUUUUUA